rnacentral:piRNA from 1 species
UACAGAGGUUAAAUAGGUAACAAAUAA